rnacentral:rRNA from 1 species
AUGCAUGUCUAAGUACAUACUUUUACAUAGUGAAACCGCGAAUGGCUCAUUAAAUCAGUUAUGGUUCCUUAGAUCGUACAAUCCUACUUGGAUAACUGUGGUAAUUCUAGAGCUAAUACAUGAUCCAAAGCUCCGACCCUUCGGGAAAGAGCGCGUUUAUUAGAUCAAAACCAGUCGGGUCGCAAGGCCCGUCACAUUGGUGAUGCUGGAUAACUUUGUGCUGAUCGCACGGCCUCGAGCCGGCGACGUAUCUUUCAAAUGUCUGCCCUAUCAACUUUCGAUGGUACGUGAUAUGCCUACCAUGGUUGUAACGGGUAACGGGGAAUCAGGGUUCGAUUCCGGAGAGGGAGCAUGAGAAACGGCUAC